rnacentral:lncRNA from 1 species
CAUCUUGGGUGAUGAGGCUCGGAGCAAGAGAUGACUUCUGCUCCAAGCUUGGCUAGAGGAGUUACAACCACGGACAGAGCUCCUCAGGCCUGCCAGGGGUCAAGGAGAAAAGGGCUUUGAGUGAGAGCUGCAGCCACCAAGGGUCCUCACUGCUGCCAGAGCCAUGCAGUCUCCAUUGCAUAGAUGUAAUAUCUUCUACCCCCACCCCUGGGGGGCAGGAAUCAAUGGAUGGAAAAUUUGGCUGUUUCCAUGUAAACCUUCUUAAGGAAGGAGCAGCAAUGACUAUACAGCUGGCCCUUCAACCUGCCCAUGCAGCAGGGCCUCCUUCAGCCAUGUUCCCAUUUAACUCUGAGCCCAGCAGGCACAAGCAUCAAACGUUGUCCUGAGUCAGUUCCCUGAUUCCUGGUUUCCCGUGGAACCUUCUCAGGAGGCUGGUGACUUUACCUGGACUCUCAAGGGACCAAGAAAAGCUUGGAGAGAAGCUGAGAGAGAGGGCUGUGCUCCACCCCCUGGCCAGGCCUCCCUGAGGAGACCCAGGAGAUCAAAGGCUGACAGCACGUUGCAGAGGCUCAGCUGCAUGCUGAGAGCUCAGUGUGCAAGGGGCUCCUCCCCACAGGCAGGAUUCUGUGAAAUAGCUGCUCUCUGCUCCGGCCGCAUGGUAAAAUGAUUCACACCGUUAUUGGAACCGUCAGAGAAGUACGUCCAGAUGGGUCAAAGUUCCACCUUUGAGACGCAAAGCAUUUAGAUGGCACUCUGGCGAAAUGGGAAUUAUGUCAAGAUACAGAACAGCAAGAUACAACCAGUUUGAUAAAGGUGACUACUGUGUUAUAGCUAAUACUCUCCUCACUCAAGGCAACAGACAGUUAAAAUUUAAACCACCAGCCACGCAGUAGAUGGAGCACAUAGAGAGCACACACAAGCAGAUAACACAAAUAACAGAACAAUGGAAAAGUAGACACAUGAUAGGAUCCUGCGGUUGAUAGAUGAUGAAACCCAAUGGCCAGGUAACGGGAAGAGCGCCCUCUCUCUACCAACCAGAGAAGUGCAGUUAAUACAACUUUUACAAUUGUCAGGCUCAGGGAGACCUUGCUGAUAAUGGGUAGGUUAGUUCCCGGCCACAUUGCAAGGAAUGUUUGCUUUCCAACCUUGAGAAAAAGCAAUGUGGUGUUUCCUAACAAAGCUGGAGCUGGGCUUGCCCCUCUCCCUUCCAGACAUUCUACAAAGUGACAUCCAGGAAUGUGCCCAGAGGAGCAUGGGACCACGGAGACCGUCAGGCACAAAGGUGUCGUCCGAAGCUGCCUCUCAGCCCUGCGUGGAAUGAGCAGUUGGCCAUGGCAUAUCUCACUCGAGCAAAUGAUGGUGGCAAAGGUGCCAGCACCUGGCCCUGCACACUCAGAUCACAUAAAAUGUAAUGCUGACUAUGAAACAACAACAACAACAUAUAUAUAUAUAUAUAUAUAUAUGCACAGAGUGAUGUCAUCUGUGCUAGUCUUUGCUACAGCCACGUGGCACAUCACAGCAGAGGUCUCAGAAGAGAAUGUGGGAGAGAGAGAGAGAGAGAGAGAGAAACACGGCUCAUUUUAUUUCUAAUGUCUCACUCCUUAAAACAAUUAUCGGGUGACAUGCUAGCAUGCCUUAAGUCUGGGGUAAAUUACACGUGAUCCUAUACAAAGGGUUCCAAAUGUUUGCGCUGUCCCAUAAUGAAAUGCCGGGACAAAGGACAUAGAUUCUGAAAUAAAGAAAAAUACACAG